AGGCAGCUAGGUUCUCGAUCAUGGACUCUGGUGUCAUGAAAGCGUGUGGAGCUAGCAAGGAUUAGAUUCUCUGGUAGUCCACGCCUUAAACGAUGGAUACUGGACAUCAACGAUACACUGUUGGUGUCUGAGUGAAAGCAUUAAGUAUCCCUCCUGGGAAGUACGAUCGCAAGUUUGAUACUCAAAGGAAUAGGCGGGGGUCCGCACAAGCGGUGGAGCGUGUGGUUUAAUUCGAUGAUACGCGAGGAACCUUACGUGGGCUAGAAUGAUGGAAGACCGAGGGUGAAAGCUCUUUUUGUAGCAAUACACUUCCAUUAAGGUGCUGCAUGGCUGUCGUCAGCUCGUGCCGUGAGGUGUUGGGUUAAGUCCCGCAACGAGCGCAACCCCCAUCACUAGUUGCCAUCAGGUAAUGCUGGGAACUCUAGUGAAACUGCCGUCGCAAGACGCGAGGAAGGAGGGGUUGAUGUCAAGUCAUCAUGGCCUUUAUGCCCAGGGCUACACACGUGUUACAAUGGGGAGGACAAAGGGCUGCCACUUAGCGAUAAGGAGCCAAUCCCAAAAACCUCUUCUCAGUUCAGAUUGGAGUCUGCAACUCGACUCCAUGAAGCUGGAAUCGCUAGUAAUCGUAUAUCAGCAAUGAUACGGUGAAUACGUUCCCGGACCUUGCACACACCGCCCGUCAAGCCAUGGAAGCCGGGUGUACCUAAAGUCGGUAACCGCAAGGAGCCGCCUAGGGUAAAACUGGUGACUGGGGCUAAGUCGUAACAAGGUAGCCGU
rnacentral:rRNA from 1 species